rnacentral:rRNA from 1 species
GGAGGUCUGGCCUGCUCACUGACAAGUUUUAAAGAGCCGCGGUAUUUUGACCGUGCAAAGGUAGCAUAAUCAUUAGUCUCUUAAUUAGGGGCUGGAAUGAAUGGCUUGACGAGAAAUUAACUGUCUCUUAUUAAAUUAUAGAAUUUAACUUUUGAGUUAAAAGGCUUAAAUUUUUCUUAAAGACGAGAAGACCCUAUAGAGCUUGACAUUUUAUUUUAAUAUAAUUUUUAGAUAAUCUUUUUAUAUUUUAAGAUGAUGUUUUGUUGGGGUGACAUGAAGAAUAAAUAAACUCUUCAUUAUAAAAUCAUUGAUUUAUGUUUAUUUGAUCCAUAAUUUAUGAUCAUAAGAUUAAGUUACCUUAGGGAUAACAGCGUAAUUGUUUUUGAGAGCUCAUAUUGACAAAGCAGAUUGCGACCUCGAUGUUGGAUUAAGAAUAAUUUUGGGUGCAGGAGCCCAAUAAUUAGUCUGUUCGACC